UAAUGCGCUUCCAACCUUAUUCAUCGCACAUCCAACCCCUCUAACCCUCUUCAUUGCGAAACAUAGAGUUCAUCACGCAACCCUCUCUUACAACCCCUCCUUCGGUGCUUCCUCCAUCAGCGUUCCUUCUGUCUACGUACUCACUUUCUCUCGCAAACCCUCUGUCGUGCUCACUUUUUCUUGCAAGCCCUCAACCGUCGCUCCUCCCUCCAUGGCUCAAUCGUUGCUUCUCCCUCAAACGUCGAUGCCUCUCCAACAAUUACCCUCACCCGUAGCCCUUUGUUUCUCCUUUUGCAUUCCCUUCGCAUCGUCAAUCUUCCUUAUCCUUACUCCACUCUGUGUUCAUGGUUACUACAAGAUUUAUAUUUAAUUGAGGGAAUUUUUUAGUAGAGAUUCUUAAAAAUCUCCAAAAUACAUUUUAUUUAUGGCAAUUUAUAAAGCUCCUCCUAAUAGUUAAUUGAUAAUUAAAAUUUAAACUCUCUAGAAAAAAUCCUUCUUCUCCUUAGUUUCACAAAAUAAGACCGAGUGAGAGGGAAGAGAAUUGAAUGGCAACAAAACCCCAAGUUCUCCACCAUUAGUUCUGCCGCCGUUGCAGUUGUCGGUUUCGUUGCCGUUACAGUCACCGGUUUUGCCACUAUUUCUGCCACAGUUGGUGUAGGAAGCUUCUCAAUCAAGCCACCUCCUCUAUCGACAUUAUGGUUUCAGAUCUAUUUGCUUUGUAGUUAUGGUUACCGCUGUAGUUUCUGCUGCCGUUGCUGCCGCAGUUUCCAUUAUCGUUGUCGUUGUAGUUGUCGCGUCGAAAGCUUCUGAAUCGAGCCACUGUUUCAGAUCUUUUUUCUCCUUCGAGCUGCCGCUGGCAUUCUUGGUGAUAGUUCCAAAUAAAAAAGGAGUUGGUUACACAUAUGAGUUGACUUUAAAGGUCAAAGGGGAAUUGAAUUUGAGAGGAGAGAAGUCGGUUGGAGGCCAUAUAGAUGUCCCAGAAUUCUCGUUUGGCGAGUUGGAUGACUUGCAGCUUUUGCAGCAUAAAGUUUGUUCCUCUGAUCAACCAAGAUGGAAGCCAGCCAAGAGGCUUGGAUUUUGUUUGUUCCAGUUCAAUAUAAUAACAUUUGACUUCUGAAUUUCAUAAUAAAUUGAGUUUCUACCUUAUUUCCUAUCCUCUUAUUCCUAUUUUAAUGUCUUCUUCUAUUGUUUAAUUUAAUUGAUCAUAUUAUCCUUCAAUUUCUUGACAGAUAAUAAUUAUAAUUAAAGUGGGUAUUGAUUUUUCUCAUUAGUUUCUUGUUAUUGUUUUCGAACAAACGCUUGUUGAGGUAAGAUAAUAAUUAUAUCCUGUUUUAUUUUAAAUAUGUUAGAAUUCUAUUAUAGCUUUGUAGUUUAUUAUGUUAGAAAUCUCAUAUAUUUUUUAGUAGCACACAAUGUCUAGUCUAUUAUAGCUACCAAUUUAUUAGAUAGCGAUGCUAUUGAAAAUGAUGUAGCUACUAACUUGACAAAGUUAAGUUCCGCCACUAGAUCUUUAUUUCAAGGUGAAUUUGAGUUGCCAUUUCUAGCACUUCUCUUGGUCAUCCUUUCCCCUUAUGAGGUCAUGAGAUUUAGGGACACAAAAGAAGGUGCUAUCAUUUCAUUAUUGAUUGCAGUGUAUUUGCCUUACCAGCAUUUCUCAAGAACAAGUUUACAGAAAUUACUUGAUCAAGGUUCAAUUGUUGCCACCAUAGCUGUUGUUUGUAUCACUAUUUUAUCUUAGUUGUUUCUGAUCUGAAUUGCUUUAGAAUGAUGUAGACUCAUAAUAUAUUUACAUAAUAAUGCCUGACAGUGGUGAUCAUUGUGUAAUAUAAUAUAUCUGAAUUCUGUACUUUUUUUUAUUAAUUAUU